UACGGAGGGUGCAAGCGUUAUCCGGAUUUACUGGGUUUAAAGGGUGUGUAGGCGGGCCUUUAAGUCAGUGGUGAAAUCUUCGGGCUCAACCCGGAACUGCCAUUGAUACUAUUGGUCUUGAAUCUUGUUGAGGUGGGCGGAAUACAUCAUGUAGCGGUGAAAUGCUUAGAGAUGAUGUAGAACACCGAUUGCGAAGGCAGCUCACUAAGCAAGUAUUGACGCUGAGGCACGAAAGCGUGGGGAUCAAACAGG
rnacentral:rRNA from 1 species